rnacentral:rRNA from 1 species
AGUGAACGCUGGCGGUAGGCCUAACACAUGCAAGUCGAACGGCAGCACAGUAAGAGCUUGCUCUUACGGGUGGCGAGUGGCGGACGGGUGAGGAAUACAUCGGAAUCUACUUUUUCGUGGGGGAUAACGUAGGGAAACUUACGCUAAUACCGCAUACGACCUACGGGUGAAAGCAGGGGAUCUUCGGACCUUGCGCGAUUGAAUGAGCCGAUGUCGGAUUAGCUAGUUGGCGGGGUAAAGGCCCACCAAGGCGACGAUCCGUAGCUGGUCUGAGAGGAUGAUCAGCCACACUGGAACUGAGACACGGUCCAGACUCCUACGGGAGGCAGCAGUGGGGAAUAUUGGACAAAGGGCGCAAGCCUGAUCCAGCCAUACCGCGUGGGUGAAGAAGGCCUUCGGGUUGUAAAGCCCUUUUGUUGGGAAAGAAAAGCAGCAGGUUAAUACCCCGCUGUUCUGACGGUACCCAAAGCAUAAGCACCGGCUAACUUCGUG